GCCCUUAUAGUCUAGUGGUCAUGAUUUUCCUCUUGUAUUUAGGAGCAUGUUUUUGUAGAACAUGGUCUCUUCUAGCAAGCUUAAGGAAGGGUCCGUCGUUCGAAUCGGCGUGAGGGCA